rnacentral:rRNA from 1 species
CCUACGGGAGGCAGCAGUGGGGAAUAUUGCGCAAUGGGCGAAAGCCUGACGCAGCGACGCCGCGUGAGGGAUGAAGGUCCUCGGAUCGUAAACCUCCGUCAGCAGGGAAGAACGGUCACUGUGCUAUUCAGCAGUGAAUUGACGGUACCUGCAAGGGCAGCACCGGCUAACUCCGUGCCAGCAGCCGCGGUAAUACGGAGGGUGCGAGCGUUAAUCGGAAUUACUGGGCGUAAAGGUCGCGUAGGCGGUAUGUCAAGUCAAGGGUGAAAUCCCCGGGCUCAACGUGGGAACUGCCUUUGAAACUGGCAGACUGGAGUGUGGGAGAGGAUAGUGGAAUUCCAGGUGUAGGAGUGAAAUCCGUAGAUAUCAGGAGGAACAUCAGUGGCGAAGGCGACUAUCUGGCACAUAACUGACGCUGAGGAGCGAAAGCGUGGGUAGCAAACAGGAUUAGAUACCCGUGUAGUC